AUAAAAAAUUAAAAAAAAUAGUUCAGCUCAGAAUCACUUCUUUUACUUUCUGGCAUGACAACAUGUUCUAGGCACAUUUGUGCCUUCCUUAUCCCAGAUCUGGAAUCAGCUCUUUCCCCAAAGAAUCCUGAUUCUUUUUGGUGGAGGAUGGAUAUGUAGAAGCGAAGAUCCAGGUCCUUUGUGCCCUCACUGCUAUUGGAGUGUCCAGGCUUCUUGCCUCAGUGCAUAAAUCGAUGGAAUAUAUGUAUGUGGACACAUACCCACGUUGACAUCUAUAUUUCUACAUGCAUGUAAAUGGAAAGGUGUGACUUCACAUCACUACCUGCCAUUUAAAGCUAACACCUCAGGGUUCAUUCUAGUUUUCUCCCUCUCCAUAUUUGUAAUUCCUUCCUUUGGCAGUGAGAAUCCCAGCUCCCGUUUUUCUUAAUAUAUUUACUUAAUUGAUCAGUUCUUUGUAUGUACCUUGCUGCUUUAUCCCCAGUCCCUGUUCGGACAUCCUUCUUACCCCAAAGAGUUCAGUUCUCUUUGCUGGGCUUUCCUCCUCCGUCCUUAUCCCACUUAAGCUCUCAUGCUCUGCACCAGCCUCUCCGCCAGCGUGGGUGUCCUCUUUGCCCCACGUGGGUUCUGACACCGUGGACUCGACUGCUUGCUCCUCCCUGGGUAGACACUCCUCUCAGCCCUGCUUGGGCUGUGGCACCCCAACUCUGGCAUCCCCCUCUUUCUGCUAGUGCCCUCUUCACCCUUCCUGGUUCCGACACUGCAUUCAGGACAGCCCUCGUCCCGCAGUGCUCAGGCCUCCAUCCGUGGCCCGUUGUGUUCCUCCCACCCCCAGACACCUCAGCACAGACCCCUCCCUAGCUCAGACCCACCUAACGGCUUUAGGACUGAAGUGUUUUGGAAGAAAAGGAUUGAAUUGUUUCAGAAGGGGUCUAUAUAAAACUUUUUGCUAAGUAAAUUCACAUUUUGGGGGGAAAAUUGUUCACCCGGGGCCAUGUCACCUAGAUUAUUUUCUGUGUCUCUCGGUGCACAGGAUCAUUCUUGAUUUCUUCCUACGGGCUGCCCGUUUUUAACUAACCAGAAGGUGAAGUCUGUAGCCCACGUAAUUCUGAUGAGUCUUUUUUUUUUUUUUCCUCCCCUCUUCAGACUUCCCUGUGAUACAGAUGGGGACUGUGGUGUUUGAGAAAGCCUGCUUUUGCAGAAGUGACGGUCUUGGUCCGUAGUUUGCAUUUCUGUGUCUCCCCUUCUAGCUCAGUGGCCCAUCCCCCCCCCCCCACCAUGACAGUGGCAGCAGGUGCUGUCCCCUUUGGCUGAGCCCUCUCUGUAGGUGUUUUGCAUGUGUUACCCUAUUAAAACACCCUACCUCUGUGAGAUGUACGGGUUUUACAGGUGAGGAAACCAAGGCUGGGAGGGGUUAAAUAAUUUGUUCAAGGUCACAUAACUUGUAAGAGGUUAGCGGUAUAAUUUGAAUCCAAGCCUGCUUUUUUCCUAGAGCCUGUCCUCGUGACCGUGUGAUGCUGCCUCUGUAGGAUUAGGAUAAAUUUGAGGAGGCUGAAUUUUUCAAUCCCUGUUUUUGAUUCCUUUUGAUUUAGGAAGAGGAAGCAUAAGCUCUUGAAAGUUAUAGUUGGAAGAAGAAAAAUAGACACCAUUAGCUGCCUGGAAACAGUGCCACUUAAAUGCUGGCAUUCCUGGAAUGGGCCCAAAGGAGUGGCUACAUAUACGGAACAUAACAGGAUGGAAGAAUUACAACAUAAAAGAGUGGGAGAGGAUAUUCAAGAUUACAGGAAUGACCUCUGUAUAUUACAGGGAUUUGGAUUACACAGGUGUGCAUUCAUAAAAACUCAGCAAAUUGACACUCAUUUCAUGAAACUUUAUAUCCAAAGGGGAAAAAUUAUGCAAAUAUUGAACUCUUACUAAUGACACACUCAAGUAUUUAGAGAGCAGUUUGCUGAUCUCUGCGAUUUACUGGGAAAUACAUGAAAAAAAUAAGAUGAAUUGAUGGAUGGCUAGAUGGAUAUAUUUGGUAAGAAAGGUAAUAGAAUCAGGAUGAUGAGAAAUGGGUUUACAUAUAAAAUUCUUUCAAUUUUGCUGUAUGUUUGAAAUUUUUCAUAAUAAAAUGUUGGUUUUAAAGAUGUAAGAUUCUGGUCACCAUGGGGCAGAAAUGGAGCCAUUGGAAUCUGACCACUGCCUUGAUGUUUUUCACUUUGAGAUUGAUAGCGAAGUAAGAAUCGUUGAAUUCUUCAUCUUUACUAUGUUA